UUGAAUGAAGAAGGAAAGCUUACUACAGAAUCUGACAACAUGAGUAUUGGCUUUCCUGUGAGGAUGCCACAGACACUUGGGGAGCUGAUAAUGAUGAGCCGAAGGAGAAGCUAUAUGAGAAGAGCUGUUGAAAUGAGAAAGCAGAAUCCUUACAAGGUAAAACUCUCAAAUUUUUUUUUUCAUAGCCUCUUCCAAAGCCAAAUACACAGUAACAGUGUAUCACGCUCAUACCUAAAUUCAAUCGCGAGAAAAGAUUCUGAAAUGUUAACACUUGCCUGGAUAAACUAGCAGGAAUUUACAAAGAAUGGAGCUGAUAGCUGCUGCCUCUUUGUGCCGGGCAUCAAAAUGAUAGAAGGACUUGAGUGGAAAAAAU
rnacentral:lncRNA from 1 species